UGGGACUUAAUUAUUAAAGGACCUUCUUUCUUGAUGUCUUUGGGCGACGGGACAUCUUUCACUAUCAUUGGGGAGUUGUUAUACUCAAUCUUGGCCUGUCCGAGGCUAACCUUAUCCAUUACAACUGUAGUUAUCGAGUGAGAUGGACUUUGAUGUACACUAAUAAAGUCUUACUCCUUCUCAAGGCGAUGGAUCAUCUUUUACCAAGAUAGGACAGCUUAUAUUCAUUAUAUCUUUUCAAUUGUACAACAUUACUGUAUAUACUGAGAUAUUUAGCUGUUGUUUAAUUACUGUGUAGUGUGUAAACUGUAUUACCUGUAUUUUAGUGUAGUAUCAAGUUUAUUAUAACAAUAACAGUGACUAUUUAGCUAGCUAUUAGGUGUGAUGAUGGCAGUAGUGUUGUUAUUACUUAAAAGAAUGUAUUAUUAAUAAAUUAA
rnacentral:lncRNA from 1 species